rnacentral:rRNA from 1 species
GACGAACGCUGGCGGCGUGCUUAACACAUGCAAGUCGAACGGUGAAGCGCCUCCCUUUUUGGUGGGUGUGGUUGCGAGGCGAAGGGGUGCGUAACACGUGAGUAACCUGCCCCCUUCUUUUGGAUAACCGCAUGAAAGUUUGGAUCAUACAGGAUCUCCUGCGUCUGGCGCAUGGUGGGACAGGGUAAGCUGUUGUUGCGGUGGGGGAUGGGCUGGCGGUCUAUGAGAGUGUUGGGGGGGGGCAGGCCUGUCACGGCGGUGACGGGUGGCCGGGCUGAGAGGGUGACAGGCCACAUUGGGCAUGAGAUGCGGCCCAGGCGCCUACGGGAGGCAGCGGUGGGGAAGAUUGCACAAUGGGCGGCAGCAGGAUGGAGCGACGCCGCGUGGGGGAUGACGGCCUUCGGGUUGUAAACCGCUUUCGCCUGUGAAGAAGCGUGAGUGACGGUAAUGGGUAAAGAAGCACCGGCUAACUACGUG